rnacentral:lncRNA from 1 species
UGAUUACCACAUGAUGCAGUCCUGGUCACGACUGAUCGGAGAAGAACCGAGAAAUGGAGUUGAACGCACGAUUGGAGGAGAUGUCGCAGCAGAAGAAGCUUAAAACCUAGGUUUAGAGUUUGCUCGGUGGAAAAGGUUAGGGUUCGAGGUAACAGAGGUUUUAAUCAGUGGAAGUUUGAAAGAAAUGGAGGAGUAGCUGUUUGAACGGUGAAACAAGAGGUUUCAUCGAUUGAAUCGAUGGAAGGAAAGGAUUCUCGGUUUUUUGAACGGUAAAGUGAAAGAGAGUCCGAUGAGGGAAGAUCUCGUGAUGAAAUGGUGAAAGGCUGGCGAUCUAGAACAGAAAAUGGAGCUUGCGUGGUGGUCAGCGGUUGGCUGUGAGGAGCUCAAGAGAGAAGGCUCUCGAGAAGAAACCCUAGGUUUGUGAUGAAAUGUGAGAUUUUGUUGGUCUGUGGUGUGAGAUCACGAAGAUGUAGCGUGAAAGGUAAGUUUAGGCGUGGUAGUUGAUCUGGUAAGCCACGAGGACGCUUUGAAUUGGUGGAAGAGGUAUGCGGUGGCUGAAAGAGAAAUCUGAAGUGGAAAAUGUAUGAAGUGCAAUGUGAUAGGAAGGUGGCUGAGAGAAUCCCUUGGAUUCUUCAGCCUUGAAUUUCAAGGAAUUAAUUUUGGAGUAUUCUCAACAGGAAAGUAAUUCACUAUCUCAAAAGUAAGUACAAGAAGUGUAGGCAUGGCUAUUUAUAGGACUAGAAGUCCCACAUGCCUAACACAAUACAAAGUACAUAAAAGAAAGACUACACUAAAGACAUUGGG